rnacentral:snRNA from 1 species
GAUCAUGAUCAAAGUGGAAAUUGGAACAAUACAGAGAAGAUUAGCAUGACUCAUGUGCAAGUAUAACACGCUGAGAAAUGAUCCCAAAAAAGAAAAU